UACGUAGGGCGCAAGCGUUGUCCGGAAUUAUUGGGCGUAAAGAGCUCGUAGGCGGUUUGUCGCGUCUGCUGUGAAAACCUAAGGCUCAACCUUGGGCUUGCAGUGGGUACGGGCAGACUAGAGUGCGGUAGGGGGUGACUGGAAUUCCUGGUGUAGCGGUGGAAUGCGCAGAUAUCAGGAGGAACACCGGUGGCGAAGGCGGGUCUCUGGGCCGAUACUGACGCUGGAGGAGCGAAAGCGUGGGGAGCGAACAGG
rnacentral:rRNA from 1 species